AUAAAUACUAUGAAAAAGUAAAGUAACUUAAUGGAAAGCCACAGAGAGGAAACGGAGCUGAGAAGUUUCUGCUGAAAGUUAAUGUGAAGUGCACUUUGGAGUAGGAGUCUGAAAUUAGUAAGACUUCCCGGGAUCACCCGUUAUAGUGAUAAGGCAUUUAUUGAUGCCUAAAGAGUGGGAUAUCUAAUAUUCAAUUGGAGUGGAAACGCGGAGUAUACAUAGCUUCGUCUCUUAU
rnacentral:ncRNA from 1 species